GGCGCGCAAUGCAGCAGCGAAAGUCUCCUGUGCUGCGGAGCGGCUAGGAUGGCAAGCAAACGAGUUGGCGCUG
rnacentral:SRP_RNA from 11 species